AUGCAGCUGACGAGUCCCAAACAGGACGAAACGCGCGUCCUGGAU
rfam:Schistosoma margrebowiei strain Zambia genome assembly, scaffold: SMRZ_scaffold0000534